GAUGAACGCUGGCGGCGUGCUUAACACAUGCAAGUCGAACGGUGAAGGCGGAGCUUGCUCUGCUGGAUCAGUGGCGAACGGGUGAGUAACACGUGAGCAAUCUGCCCCUGACUCUGGGAUAAGCGCUGGAAACGGCGUCUAAUACUGGAUACGAGCUGCGAAGGCAUCUUCAGCAGCUGGAAAGAAUUUCGGUCAGGGAUGAGCUCGCGGCCUAUCAGCUUGUUGGUGAGGUAAUGGCUCACCAAGGCGUCGACGGGUAGCCGGCCUGGGAGGGUGACCGGCCCCCAGGGGCCUGAGAGACGGCCCAGACUCCAACGGGGGGCAGCGGGGGGGAAUAUGGAACAAUGGGGGAAAGCCUAAGGAGGCAACGCCGGGUGGGGAAGGACGGCCUUCGGGUUGUAAACCUCUUUUAGCAGGGAAGAAGCGAAAGUGACGGUACCUGCAGAAAAAGCGCCGGCUAACUACGUG
rnacentral:rRNA from 1 species